AGAGAGUUAUCUCGCGCCCCUUAGUAUACUCUACUUACCUACCUGUGUCGGUUUAAGGUACAGGUAUUUACUAUUUAAGAUAUAUCGAGCUUUUCUAGGAAACAUGACAUUGAUCACUUUAGUAUGUUAAUACUUUGUACUCACUUUUUAGCUCAGAGUAUUUUCUCUACUCUUCUUCACCUCAAUAGUUUAAACCGGUAACCAACAUCCGGCUGAUCUAGCCUUUUUCGUCCCUCGUUACCAAUAGUAAAUAGUACGGGAAUAUUAACCCGUUAUCCAUCGACUAUGUUUUUCAACCUCGCCUUAGGACCUGACUCACCCUUUGUGGACGAACCUUGCAAAGGAACCCUUAGGUUUUCGGGGCAUUGGAUUCUCACCAAUGUUUUCGCUACUCAAGCCAACAUUCUCACUUCUGUUUUGUCCACAUCCGCUCACGCUAAUGCUUCGACCUAAUACAGAACGCUCCCCUACCGAUAAAACAUCCCACAGCUUCGGCAACUUACUUAGUCCCAUUCAUUUUCGGCGCAAGAUCACUUGAUCAGUGAGCUAUUACGCACUCUUUAAAGGAUUGCUGCUUCUAAGCAAACCUCCUGAUUGUCUAUGCAUUCUCACUUCCUUUGCCACUUAGUAAAUAUUUAAGGGCCUUAACUGGUGGUCUGGGCUGUUUCCCUUUUGACAAUGGAGCUUAUCCCCCACUGUCUCACUGAUUAAUAAUUCACUUUAGUAUUCAGAGUUUGCCUUGAUUUGGUACUAUUUUCAUAGCCCGCAUCAAAACAGUGCUUUACCCCUAAAACUUAACAUUAAUCGCUGCGCCUCAACGCAUUUCGGGGAGAACCAGCUAGCUCCGGAUUCGAUUAGCAUUUCACCACUAAUCACAACUCAUCCGCUGAUUUUUCAACAUCAGUCGGUUCGGACCUCCACGUAGUGUUACCUAAGCUUCACCCUGGUCAUGACUAGAUCAUCCGGCUUCGGGUCUAUAAAUAGUGACUAACGCUCUAUUCAAGCUCGCUUUCACUAUGGCUUCGAUAUACUUUAUCUUAACCUGCCACUACUUAUAAGUCGCUGGCUCAUUCUUCAACAUGCACGAAGUUAAACGUUAAGUCGUUUAACUACUGUUUGUAAACUUAUAGUUUCAUGUUCUAUUUCACUCCCCUCCCGGGGUUCUUUUCACCUUUCCCUCACGGUAUAAACCGACACAGGUAGGUAAGUAGAGUAUACUAAGGGGCGCGAGAUAACUCUCUCUAAGGAACUCGGCAAAAUAGCUCCGUAACUUAGGAAGAAGGAGUACCCUUGUAGGGUUGCAAUAAUCAGGCCCAAGCGACUGUUUAUCAAAAACAUAGGUCUCCGCUAAGUUGUAAAACAAUGUAUGGGGGCUGACGCCUGCCCAGUGCCGGAAGGUUAAAGAAGUCGGUUAGUUAUAUUACAAAGCUGGCAACUGAAGCCCCGGUGAACGGCGGCCGUAACUAUAACGGUCCUAAGGUAGCGAAAUUCCUUGUCGGGUAAGUUCCGACCCGCACGAAAGGCGUAACGAUUUGGGCACUGUCUCAGAGAGAGACUCGGCGAAAUAGACUUGUCUGUGAAGAUGCGGACUACCUGCACCUGGACAGAAAGACCCUAUGAAGCUUUACUGUAGCUUGAAAUUGGAUUUUGGCUUGAUUUGCGCAGAAUAGGUGGGAGGCUAUGAAAAUGACUUUGCGGAGUUAUUAGAGCCAUUAGUGAGAUACCACUCUAAUUAAGUUGAAAUUCUAACUUUGAACCGUUAUCCGGUCAAAGAACAGUUUCAGGUAGGCAGUUUGACUGGGGCGGUCGCCUCCUAAAAAGUAACGGAGGCGUGCAAAGGUUUCUUCAGGCUGGUUGGAAAUCAGUCGUAGAGUGUAAAGGCAAAAAGAAGCUUGACUGCGAGACUUACAAGUCGAGCAGAGACGAAAGUCGGCCUUAAUGAUCCGACAGUACUGAGUGGAAAGGCUGUCGCUCAACGGAUAAAAGUUACUCUAGGGAUAACAGGCUGAUCUCCCCCAAGAGUUCACAUCGACGGGGAGGUUUGGCACCUCGAUGUCGGCUCAUCGCAUCCUGGGGCGGUAGCACGUCCCAAGGGUUGGGCUGUUCGCCCAUGAAAGCGGUACGCGAGCUGGGUUCAGAACGUCGUGAGACAGUUCGGUCCAUAUCCGGUGCAGGCGCAAGAGUAUUGCGAGGAUUUCUCCUUAGUACGAGAGGACCGGGAGAAACGUACCUCUGGUGUACCAGUUAUUGUGCCAACAGUAAACGCUGGGUAGCUAAGUACGGUCAAGAUAACCGCUGAAAGCAUCUAAGUGGGAAGCUUACCUCAAGAUUAGUACUCUUACCAUUUAAAAUGGUUAAGGUCACGGCAAGAUUAGCCGUUAUAUAGGCGUCAAGUGUAAGUAUAGUAAUAUAUUCAGCUAAGAUGUACUAAUAGACCGAGGACUUAAU
rnacentral:rRNA from 1 species